UACGGGGGGCGCAAGCGUUGUUCGGAUUUACUGGGCGUAAAGGGCGCGUAGGCGGCCACCGCAAGUCGAUUGUGAAAUCUCCGGGCUUAACCCGGAAAGGUCAACCGAUACUGCGGGGCUAGAGUGCAGAAGGGGCAACUGGAAUUCUCGGUGUAGCGGUGAAAUGCGUAGAUAUCGAGAGGAACACCUGCGGCGAAGGCGGGUUGCUGGGCUGACACUGACGCUGAUGUGCGAAAGCUAGGGGAGCGAACGGG
rnacentral:rRNA from 1 species